rnacentral:lncRNA from 1 species
AACCUUCCCAUAGGUUUUGGAUUGUUGAGUGUUUGAUGUCAUUUGCUUCUAGAUAUUUUUUAAUUUCCCAUUUGAUUUCUUCAGUGAUCCAUUGGUUGUUUAGUAGUAGCAUGUUGUUUAGUCUUCAUGUGUUUGUUUUUUGCAGUUUUUUCUUGUUGUUGAUUUCUAGCCUUAUAGUAUGGUCAGAAAAGAUGCUUGAUAUGAUUGCAAUUUUUAAAAAAAUUACAGAGGCUCGAUUUGUGGCCCAGUAUAUGAUCUGUUCUAGAGAAUGUUCCAUUUGUGCUUGAGGAGAAUGUGUAUUCUGCUGCUUUGGGGUGGAAUAUUCUGUAAAUAUCUAUUAAGUUCAUCUGGUCUAAUGCAUCAUUUAAGGCCUGUGUUUCCUUGUUGAUUAUCUGUCUGAAUGAUCUGUCCAUUGCUAUAAAUGGAGUGUUUGUUGUAAAGCUGGUUUAGUGGUGCUGAAUUCUCUUAAUCUUUUGCUUAUGUGUAAAGCUUUUGACUUAUCUUUCAAAUCUGAAUGAGAACCUUGCUAUGUAGCCUUAAUUGGAGGAUUUUUCCUUUCAUCACUUUAAGUAUAUCAUGCGACUGCCUUCUGGGCUGUAGUUUGUCAACUGAAAAAUCAGUGACAACCUAAUGGGCUUUCCUUGUAUGUUUGUUGCUUUUCCCUUGAUGCUUUCAUAUUUUCUCUCUUAAUUUUGGUCAAUCUGAUUACUCUGUGUGUCUGGGUGUUCCUCCUUGGGUUUAUUUUGUGUGGUAUUCAUUUGUUUCCUGGAUUUGAGUGAGUGAUUCCUUUCCCAUGUUAGGGAAUUUUUAAGCUACUAUUUCUUCAAAUAGUUUCUCUAGCCUUUUCUAUCUUCUCCUCUGCAUCUCUAUAAAAUUUUUUUACUGAAUUUUGGAUCUCUACUUGUUUUGUCUUUAAAUCUUUGUUCAACAUAUCUUCUGUCAAUCCCUGCCUCCAUUUUUUUCUCCCUAGAUCUUAGCUCAUCUUGACUAUUAUUAUUCUAAAGGCUUUUUCAUGGAGGCUGCUAAUCUCCAGUUCACUUUGCUGUUUUUCUGAGCUGUUGUCUAAUUCCUUCAUCUGGUUUAUAUUCCUCUGCCCUUUCAUUUUGUAUAGCUUUUCGUCUGGACUAUUUUUGCAGGCUAGAGGGUUGUAGCCUUUCUUGCUUCUGCUGUCUGCCCCUGUGGGGGAAGUUGAUACAGGGGCUUGUUACGGGCUUGUUACAGGCUUGUAGUUGAGAGGGACUGGUUCCUGACCACUGGUGGGUAGUGCUGAGUCUUGUCACUCUUAUGGGUGGGGCUUUGUCUCUGGGUGUGAUUAGAGGCAGCUCUGUGCCUAAGGGGACUUUAAGUAGUCUGUUUGCUGAUGGGUGGGGCUGUGUUC